AAGAGCUCUUCCCAGUAUCUCGUGACAGCCUCAGAGACUCACCUCCAAGUCUGGGACCUCCUCUCUUGCUCAGGUGAGCAUGGAGUGUGGUGAUACAGUAUCACUAUAAGCUAUGGUGUUAUGUUUUAGUAGCUACAUUUAAGCUGUAAAUACACUGUCCCUACAUUUGCCAGCAAAUGUUUACAGUUGAGCCUUUUUAGCCAAAGAAUAGAAGACCUUGUGAGCAUAAUCUACCAAGGUCACAUGUAUGCAUUCAUUCUUAGACCAGCUGUUAUUGUGUGCUCUGUUGUUAUUGAGUUUGUGUGCUUUCUUAUCCAGUGCUGUGGUGUGUGAAGACCAGAGUGUGCUCCAUGGUAUCUGAUCCUCUGAGUCAACUCACAGCUGUGUUUGUGCCCUCAGGGAAUGAACCACACAUUUGUACCUGAUUGACCCCCCUUCCCCCACUCCACUGGCCGUACAUCACUCUGUGUGCUCGGGGAAAGUGCUGGGGGGCGUGUUCCUACCCCCUCAGUCAGGGGGUACCUCUACACUGUACUUCAUGGACAAGGCACAGGUGUUGUAUGGCCUAGAGGAGGAAGGUAAAGAGAAGAGUGAUGACUCUCGGCCGUUACUAGGGGACAAUGUUCCCACAUCAGAGAGGGAAUUCUGGGAUAUCUUUGGAGGCAGUAAACUAUAUAACAGAGGUUCUAUUGAACAUGUAAUGUACACGUCCAAACCAUGACUCUCUCUACUCAGUGCCCCUCCCCACGUCCUCCCCCCAAUGCCCUCCCUCUGUCUCCCGUUCCUCCAGUCACGUACAUUAGCAGGGGUCUAAAGGUCAUUAUGGUCGAGGACAAAGUGCCUUCUCGCUAUUCUGGCUCUCUGAAGUAUGGCCACCUCGAUAUACCGGCCAUUUGGUUUGGCACGGAUUGCUAGCUAGAUUAGAUGUUUACGGCACAAAACUCGCCCUGAAUUGCAGCCACUCCUGCCACAAACUACGUUUAUUACGGCUGGAUAAGGCAAACUGGAUUGUUGAACCCUGUACUGUAAUCACUGCUCGUGACACUUCCCUCCGUGGGUGUGAUACUAGGGGGUGGGGUGGACUGCUCUCGGCCCAUCUAUGUGUGUGUUUGGUGUAGACAGUCUCUCAUUUAUACACUGUGUUCACACAUCACAAGCUAGUGUAAAGAAUUUCGAAAGCUAUAGCUAUUACUCGUGUGUGUAUGCGGGACGCACCUUAAUGGUUGUCUCUCUCUUUACCCAAUAUGUUCAGUCUCUGACUCUGUUGGACCCAGUGAACUGUGAGCCUUUAUGCAAAAUACUGAGUGCAUACCUGUAGGCUAGCAGCUGCCGUAUAGCUGUACCUUACUUCAUCGAUGAGGUGUAUGGUGUUGGUCAUAAGAGCUCUUCCCAGUAUCUCGGACAGCCUCAGAGACUCACCUCCAAGUCUGGGACCUCCUCUCUUGCUCAGUGCUGUGGUGUGUGAAGACCAGAGUGUGCUCCAUGGUAUCUGAUCCUCUGAGUCAACUCACAGCUGUGUUUGUGCCCUCAGGGAAUGACACACAUUGUGGGUGGCUGUGCAUGUGAACAUCUACUGUCUCCAAGAUGAACUAAAGAGAGGUGGUCUCAACAAGAUAGCCAGCUGCUCAGACGAGGGGACAAGAAAUCAGUUCUCUGAGCUACUACACUGAAGAGAUUGUGACAAAAGUGUGUAGUUGGCAAACAAUGAAUUCGAUUAUGGAAUGGGUCUCGAAUGGACUUGUUUUGCCAUGGCAACCUGCACUUACACACUUGGUACAAAGAGAACAAUGUGACUCUUUUAAUACUGUCUAUGAGUUAUCACAAUGUCUGCACGAUUGUUGCUCAAUGAAUUUUUGAAAAAAAA